CCUCCAUUUCAUUCCCCUCUUUACUUUCUCUCUCUACCUCUCCCACAGAAAACUUUAUUUCUCUCUCUAUACUUAUAGAGAGGCCGCUGCAUGCUGAUGAUUCUAGAGGUGCUGAUGAUUCUAGAGGUACAUCAAUUCGAGGAAGUAAUCUAGUAAUAUCAAGUUUUUGCUGAGAGUAGUUCAAGGAUUGCUACAGAAGAAUUUCAAAGGAACUCUGACAACCAAGUGAUGCGGCCAGUGAACCUAUUUCGCCCAUGGAUGCAAGGAGACCACGUGAUGAUUGUGAUCCUAAUGACACUCAUUGAUUUCAUUGCAAAUUGUCUUGGAUGUAGUUGCGUAUGUGGUUGGAGUGAAUCUUAAAAUACUGAAGUUUUUGUGUUUAAAUUUGAUUUUGAAGAUACUACUUAAUGUUUAAAAAUUGGAGUUGAAUAUUUAAUUUUGAAGUUUAAUGUAUUUUUGACAUGUUUUUCAAUUACAAUAUUUAAUUAUUCA